CACUGCAUUGAAUGCUGAUUAAAUUCAAGAUUUCAGUUCUCAUCUUUGAAGACUCAUGUUACCAGAGGGAUUGUCUCACCCAUGUUAUCAUGGCCUCCCAUGACAGCAAUACUCCAGGGAGAAAACAGGGCUGCCAACCUCAGAGCGAAACCCAUGGGUGCAGGAGGUGGAGCUUUCUCAGUGCCUAGCCCACAAGCCUGGGACUCACUCCCAGGCCCAUUCAACCUACAUGAUAACAUCUGCUGGGACUGGGGAAGCAGACAUGCAGAAUCCUCGCAAAUGGAAAUGCCAGGGAUGGAUCAGAUACCAGAUGUUUAAGUUUGAACGUUUGACCCUUGAGCUGACAGUUGUUCCUAAGGAAUAUCACAAGAUAUUGAGACAGCAGCUUCCCCUCAAGCAGCAGAUGCAGCAGCAGGAGCAAUCAGAUGCACAUAAGAAU